GCCGGGGUGGGGAGGAGGGGGCCAGACGGGACAGAGGCCUGUUUCCAGUUUUCGCCCAAACAGCAGGGCCGGGCUGUAUGCAGAGGGCGGGUACCUAGUACACAGUCGUCCUUACUGAUGUGUGACUGACUCACCAAGCUCCCGCGUCUGACCGAGCUCCCGUCUAGGGUUAAGACAACUAGGAACAUUCUGUGUGGGAGGAGGAAGGGGGAAAGGGGAAGCCAGGAAAGGAGGGAGGGAGGCAGAAAUGAGAGCCUUGCCAUCCACCCGUGUGGGCAGUGCAGCCCAGCAGCCCGGCUGGGAGCCAGAGGACCGGGCCCAGGUCCUGGGUCCACCACCGAGUCAGGCCUCACUGUCAAGACAAGAGAGACUGAGGCACUGACGAGCCUCUGGGGACGGGGCCCUCCCGCGAGCCUCCCCACUGCAGCUCCAGCCCAGCCGAGCUCUCGGGCCUCGGACUCACUGGGACUACGUGACAAACUCUAUAAAAACUGUUACAAAGCCAGGCUCGCCUGCGCAGCCAGCCAGGUGCUGACACGCCCGGAUCCGCAGCAGAGGCAGCGCCUUCUCAGGAGACAGCUGAGUGAGGAGACGGAGGAACAAGCCUCAAACUGUCCCCGGAGGCCCGGGGCUGGGGUGUUUGUGGGAUAAGGAAGCGGUGGUCUGAGGUGUGGGGCGCGUGGGGCAGGGUGGUUGGAAAUAAAAAAAAGGAGGAAGCUCUAAUUUGAAAAGCUACGUGCACCCCAAUGUUCAAAGCAGCAUUAUUUA